rnacentral:rRNA from 1 species
GACGAACGCUGGCGGCGUGCUUAACACAUGCAAGUCGAACGGAAAGGCCCUGCUUGCAGGGUACUCGAGUGGCGAACGGGUGAGUAACACGUGGGUGAUCUGCCCUGCACUUCGGGAUAAGCCUGGGAAACUGGGUCUAAUACCGGAUAGGAGCCAUUUUUAGUGUGAUGGUUGGAAAGUUUUUUCGGUGUAGGAUGAGCUCGCGGCCUAUCAGCUUGUUGGUGGGGUAAUGGCCUACCAAGGCGGCGACGGGUAGCCGGCCUGAGAGGGUGGACGGCCACAUUGGGACUGAGAUACGGCCCAGACUCCUAAGGGAGGCAGCAGUGGGGAAUAUUGCACAAUGGGCGCAAGCCUGAUGCAGCGACGCCGCGUGGGGGAUGACGGCCUUCGGGUUGUAAACUCCUUUCGCUAGGGACGAAGCUUUUUGUGACGGUACCUAGAUAAGAAGCACCGGCUAACUACGUG